CACGGGGGGAGCAAGCGUUGUUCGGAUUCAUUGGGCGUAAAGGGCUCGUAGGUGGCUUUGUAAGUCGGAGGUGAAAGACCACGGCUCAACCGUGGAAACGCCUUCGAAACUGUGAAGCUUGAGGCUGGGAGAGGAAAUCGGAAUUCCUGGUGUAGCGGUGAAAUGCGUAGAUAUCAGGAGGAACACCGGUGGCGAAGGCGGGUCUCUGGGCCGAUACUGACGCUGAGGAGCGAAAGCGUGGGGAGCGAACAGG
rnacentral:rRNA from 1 species